rnacentral:misc_RNA from 1 species
AUAAGUAAUGUGAAUUGCAGAAUUCAGUGAAUCAUCGAAUCUUUGAACGCACAUUGCGCCCGCCAGCAUUCUGGCGGGCAUGCCUGUUCGAGCGUCAUUUCAACCCUCAAGCUCUGCUUGGUGUUGGGGCCCUACGGUUGACGUAGGCCCUCAAAGGUAGUGGCGGACCCUCCCGGAGCCUCCUUUGCGUAGUAACUAACGUCUCGCAUCGGGAUCCGGAGGGACUCUUGCCGUAAAACCCCCCAAUUUUUCAAUGG